AUUGAACGCUGGCGGCAGGCCUAACACAUCCAAGUCGAGCGGAUGAAGGGAGCUUGCUCCUGGAUUCAGCGGCGGACGGGUGAGUAAUGCCUAGGAAUCUGCCUGGUAGUGGGGGAUAACGUCCGGAAACGGGCGCUAAUACCGCAUACGUCCUGAGGGAGAAAGUGGGGGAUCUUCGGACCUCACGCUAUCAGAUGAGCCUAGGUCGGAUUAGCUAGUUGGUGGGGUAAAGGCCUACCAAGGCGACGAUCCGUAACUGGUCUGAGAGGAUGAUCAGUCACACUGGAACUGAGACACGGUCCAGACUCCUACGGGAGGCAGCAGUGGGGAAUAUUGGACAAUGGGCGAAAGCCUGAUCCAGCCAUGCCGCGUGUGUGAAGAAGGUCUUCGGAUUGUAAAGCACUUUAAGUUGGGAGGAAGGGCAGUAAGUUAAUACCUUGCUGUUUUGACGUUACCAACAGAAUAAGCACCGGCUAACUUCGUG
rnacentral:rRNA from 1 species